CUCUUAUCAAGAGUGGUGGAGGGACUGGCCCGAUGAAACCCGGCAACCGGCAUUUAUAUGCGUCUGGUGCCAAAUCCUGCAGGUUAGAUUAUUCUAACCUGAGAGAUGAGAG
rnacentral:ncRNA from 2 species